GUACACGCUGUGACUAGCAUAUCAAUAAGCGGAGGAAAAGAAACUAACAAGGAUUCCCCUAGUAACGGCGAGUGAAGCGGGAAGAGCUCAAAUUUGAAAUCUUAAAGGGUUUCCCUUUACGAAUUGUAGUUUAAAGAAGUGUUUUCUGUUGAGGUUUUGGUAAAAGUUCUUUGGAAUAGGACAUCAUAGAGGGUGAGAAUCCCGUAUUUGACCUUUACUUUCAACUUUGUGAUACACUUUCAAAGAGUCGGAUUGUUUGGGAAUGCAGUCCAAAAUGGGUGGUAAAUUUCAUCUAAAGCUAAAUAUUGGCGAGAGACCGAUAGCGAACAAGUACCGUGAGGGAAGAUGAAAAGAACUUUGAAAAGAGAGUUAAACAGUACGUGAAAUUGUCAAAAGGGAAGCGUUUGACACCAGUGUUGUUUUUCUGAAAAUCAAUUAAAGAACUGUUUAUGCUAAGCUGUUUAGACUUUAUCAGCUAUCUGCUUAGUUUUGAGCUUUUCUUUAAUGCACUUUUCAGUUAACAAGUCAACAUCAAUUUCUUUUGCUGUAAAAAAGCUUGAGGAAGGUGGCUUGAGAUUCGUCUUAAGUGUUUAUAGCCUCUUGCCUAUGCAGUCGGAGAGAUUGAGGUCUGCAGCGUAGAUCCUUCGGGGCUAAAUGCAUUUGUGCUAAGUUAUAGCAUUUCAUAGACAACUUGUUGACUAUGAUUUGUCUUGUAGCUUACUCGCUUAUGUUAUUUUACCUACGCUUAGGAUGUUGACGAGACUGUCGAUCUC
rnacentral:rRNA from 1 species